AGCAGCGUGGCUCGGUGGAAAGAGCAUGGGCUUGGGAGCCAGAGGUCAUGGGUUCGAAUCCCGGCUCUGCCA
rnacentral:tRNA from 1 species